rnacentral:lncRNA from 1 species
ACAAACUGUUAAGAACCAAGUGUCUUGAACCCUGAUCAGUUGAAGUCUAACAAAUUUUACAGUUAUUUCGCAGGUGAUUAAUAGUGGGAUAAAAUGACAAGGACAGUCUUAAGAAUUCUUCCAGCUAACAAAGACAUUUAAAUAAAUUAAAGGAGUCCCAGUGUGUUGAAAAACUUGAAGUUAUUUCCCUGACAGUCAUUUGACAUCUGGUAAUAACCAUUAAUAUUUUCAAAGUAUUUUCUCUUCCCUUUCAGACAUGCUGGGGAGCUUUCUGAGCCCCUGGCUGUGUGGCUCUGUGACAGCAGCCUCCUCUUCUACAACAUCGGCUGGUACAAAAGCACACAGGGCUGGAAAUCAGCUGCCUUGCCCUCUACACUCCACACCAACUCUAAGACUUUGGCACGUCAAGCCUUGUUUCCAUUGAGGAUUUUAAUCUUGGCUGCACUUUUGAAGGUGGGGAGCUUUAAAACUAGAUACAUACGUCUGGGAUGCCAGCAGAUUUUCUGGUUUCCUACCACCAAGAUGGAAUGCCUACCUGAGAACAAGGGCGAAACGCAGGAAGGCCAUGCGGGCGGAUGGAGCUCCAGAAACACUGGUUGA